CAGGCUUUUAAAAUUCAUGUGCACGGGCUGU
rnacentral:piRNA from 1 species